UAACGCGUGGGUAACCUACCCAUUAGCCAGGAAUAACUCCGGGAAACCGGAGCUAAUACCUGAUGCACUUUAAGGUAAGCAUUUACUUUAAAGAAAAGAUGGCCUCUCGAAGAAGCUAUCGUUAAUGGAUGGACCCGCGUCUGAUUAGCUAGUUGGUGAGGUAGAGGCUCACCAAGGCCAUGAUCAGUAGCCGGCCUGAGAGGGUGAACGGCCACACUGGGACUGAGACACGGCCCAGACUCCUACGGGAGGCAGCAGUGGGGAAUCUUCCGCAAUGGGCGCAAGCCUGACGGAGCAAUGCCGCGUGAGUGACGAAGGCCUUCGGGUUGUAAAACUCUGUCCUUAGGGAAGAACGGUCUAUAUGUGAAUAAUGUAUAGAAAUGACGGUACCUAAGGAGGAAGCCCCGGCUAACUACGUGCCAGCAGCCGCG
rnacentral:rRNA from 1 species